AGGAGGUACAAGAGAAAAUGGAGGCCUGUCAUUUUAUAGCUAAAACCCCCACUAAUUACAUUAGUGUAUCAGGUGGUUUUAAUCAGGGCCUAGAUUAGCACUCACAGCAAAGAAAGCUCUGGAGUGCCGCAGAGCCAUCGUGAGAUGGGGAGCCAAGCCUGGGCAGGGGAAGAGGGAGAAUGCUGUAGAUAGCCACUUCCCAGUCUCACCCUUCCACAGGCAAAACGAUAUCCCUGCUAGCCCUUCUCCAGUUUGCUAGCAGAGGGAGCCAUCUCCUGCCCCAUCCCACAGCUGAUAACGGGUAGUUCCAAUCAUCACUGCAGCAGGGCACUCCGCCUGGGUCUCUAUGUGGCAGGCACCCUUGGAAGCCACAGGCCAUGCCUCUGCCUAGAGGGAGAAGUGCAACAGUUUGGUCUGGAUGAAUCCAAAGCUGCUCCUCCCUGAUGGACUGGAGCCAGGGGGACCAGCACGGAGCCUGAUGUGGGUUGGUGAGAUUCCCAAGGGCAAAGCCAGCAGCAAUUCCUCUGGGGAACAGCAACUACAGAGGGUGCUCUCACUUUGUCAGGGUCUGUGUCUCAGGCAGUCCCAUCCAUGAGAGCUCUCCCCAGCUUCCGGCAGCAUUACCCAGCCUGAGCCUUCUGCACUGGUCCCAAACACAGAACUUGCAAGACUGUUUCUGCAGAGACACGUGCUCCUCCACUAGACUGGUCAAUCCCCACGCAUGAGUGGCUCCAGUGCUCCCACUGACGACAUUCCUGGCAGAGAAUGGGCCACAGCAAUUUCCAUUGCGGCAGCACUGAGAGAACAUUGUGUUGCUCCUCACACACAAUCCACAGCCUUCUACAGCUGCCCUAACACAGGACAAGUCACCACAUUUGGCUACUCAGUACACAUUAACCCUACUGCCCUACAUGCUACAGUAAGCUUAAUACCGCAAUCCACAGCGCCACCAGUAAACAGCAUGCUAUAGCAAUCCUAGCAAUCUACAGUGCUUCCAAUAUACCUCACAGGACAGCAAUUCACUGGGCUAUGAAGAGACACCAAAAUCCACAGGACCUUUUACUACACAACAUCACAGAUCACAGGAACUCCUAUGCACAAUGUACUACAGCAAGCCUCAUAAUCCACAACAUGCUGCACCAAACAAGAUCCACAACAUUACACAAUAUACCACCACAAAGUCAGUAUCACACAGAACCUCCAAGACACCAGAGCACUCCCUCAAACCUAACACAGCACUCUAAAGCACCUUAUACCCACCCCACUGCAGCCACUCUACCAGGCCACAAUACACUACUGCAGUCCUAACACCACAGUCUUCUCAGCACCUUCAAUACACAAGAGCAAACAACAAAGCAAACCAGAACUUUUCCAAUGCACAGCUGCAGCAGUCAGAUCCCCACAACAUAGGUUAUUUUGACUGUGGAGUUCUGUGAUGAGCUCCCCAUAUAAUAUGCCUAAUGUCAUCACCUUUGGAGAAUGUAGCAACCCUAACACACGUAGUCUGCAUACGACAUUCCACGCUGUUCUUCAUAAAACUUCCUAUUAUGCCUCUAUUACACUGCAACCUUAUUGCCUUGCACCUCACAGCCCCUCCCCACCAAGAUAGAACAUUCCACCCCAUUCCCAGGGUACCUUUCCCCACUGGAGAACAUGUUGCAGCCCCCCAGCUCUGCGGUCUUCUCAUCCAUAACACUUUGUCCCAGACAGACAACUUUCUGGAGCCUUCCAGAUCCAAGUGUUCCAGAGAACACAUUGCUAUGCUACAAGACAACACAAUCCUGCAUGCUUGCAACACAAGUUUUGUACACACACACACACACACACACCCCAUGC